rnacentral:rRNA from 1 species
AUGCACCACUUCCUCCUCCUCUUUCUCAUUUUCUUGCUUCCCCAUGAAACCAGCUACUACGCGGCCGCAGCUUCCGGCGGUGGCGACUUGUGCAGCCGCCGGUGCGGCGGUACCACCGUCCCAUACCCUUUCGGAUUCUCCCCCGGCUGCCCCAUCGCCCUGUCGUGCGACGCCAGCACCUCCACGCCCAUCCUCCCAUACAUAGACAUAGGAGAUAACGGCACCAUGCACCGUGUCAUCGCCUUCAACUCCACCAGCUCCACGAUGGUCGUCGACCUCCCUCCAUCGUGCAGCCGCAGCGUCCCCGAGGCCAGGAGGGAACUCUCCGGGGGCAACUACGGCGUGUCAUCUCGCACCGGUCUUUUCCUCCGCGGCGGCUGCAGCGGGAUCAACGCUUCGGCGGGCGCUGGAUGCAGCGUGCCGGUGGACGUCAUGUCCAGGCUGCUCCGCACGGCGCACUGCGCCGCUAACAGCAACGGCACCUCGGCCAGUACCGUGGUUUGCGAUGCUUCCGCCGCAGGGAAUGCCACUGCAUACCAGUUUCUGCGGUGGGAGAAGUUGGAGAAGCAAAAGUGCGACGACGUGCUAACCUCCACGGUGUUCGUGCUCACGGCGGAGUGGGCGCCUACGCUGGAGUUCGGCGUGGCCGAGCUCGGCUGGUGGCUCAACGGGACGUGUGGCACCGGCGGGGGCGAGCGUUGCACGGCGAACGUGACGUGCACCGACGUAGAAACGCCUAGCGGGGAGUUGGGGCACCGGUGCGGGUGCGUGGCGGGGAUGGAGGGCGACGGCUCCUCGGCCGGCGACGGAUGCUACCUCGGUGCAUCCCUGCGUGGUGUCCCAAGCUCGAAGCGCCGAAGACUACCCCUGCUCGUCAGCCUGUGUGGUGGGUUCCUGCUUUCUCUUGGCAUUUUUUCCCUCUUCCUCGUACACUGGCGGAGAAGGCGUAAUACCAUGAACAAGACAACCAAACAGAUGCCGAAAAAGGCAAUGACACACUUCCAUGAUGAACUUGUGGAGGCCGAGCUGGAGCAAGGAGCCAGUGGCCCCCGACCAUUUUCCUAUCAGGAGCUCACUGUCGCCACCGACAACUUCUCCGAAGAUAGAGCGCUCGGGAGAGGAGGCUUUGGGUCCGUGUACCGAGGGUUUAUGGGCGACAUGAAUCGCGAAGUGGCUGUCAAGAGGGUGUCUGAGACCUCUCGACAGGGCUGGAAGGAGUUCAUCUCGGAGGUACGAAUCAUUAGUCGGCUUAGGCACCGGAACCUUGUGCAGCUCAUUGGCUGGUGCCAUGGUGGCGAAGAGCUCCUCCUCGUCUAUGACCUGAUGCACAAUGGCAGCCUCGACACUCAUCUCUACAGACCGGACUGCGUGCUGACAUGGCCGGUUAGGUAUGAAAUAAUGCUUGGCCUAGGUUUGGCGCUUCUGUACCUGCACCAAGAUACGGAGCAGCGCGUGGUGCACAGGGAUAUCAAGCCAAGCAACAUCAUGUUGGACGCGUCCUUCACUGCUAAGCUAGGUGAUUUCGGCCUUGCAAGGCUCAUCAACGACGGCCGGAGAUCGCACACGACCGGCAUAGCUGGCACAAUGGGGUACAUAGAUCCGGAGAGCGUGUUGGCCGGUAGGGCGAGCGUCGAGUCAGACGUGUAUAGCUUCGGGGUUGUUCUCCUGGAGGUCGCUUGUGGGCGGCGGCCAACUUUGGUCCAAGAAGACGGAGAUGUCGUCCACAUUGUCCAAUGGGUGUGGGACUUGUACGGCAGAGGAUCAGUCCUCGACACCGCUGAUGAGUGGCUUAGGGGGGAGUUCGAUGAAGGGCAGAUGGAGCGUGUGAUGGUCUUGGGACUCUGGUGUGCGCACCCUGACCGUGGCAUGCGGCCAUCCAUCAGGCAAGCGGUGAGCGUGCUGCGGUCUGAAGCGCCACUGCCGAGCCUACCGGCGAGGAUGCCGGUGGCGACGUAUGGGCCACCGACUAAUCAUUCGAGUUCCGGAACUUUGGUGCUGAGCAGAGUCAGUGGCCGGUGA